ensembl:snRNA U6 U6 spliceosomal RNA
GUGCUCGCUUCGGCAGCACAUAUACUAAAAUUGGAACCAUACAGAGAAGAUUAGCAUGGCCCCUGUGCAAGGAUGACACACAAAUUCGUGAAGCGUUCCAUAUUUUU